ACCUGGCUGGCUCAGUCAGUAGAGCACGUGACCCUGGAUCUUGGGGUUGUGAGUUCAAGUCCCAUGUUAAGUG
rnacentral:tRNA from 1 species